rnacentral:piRNA from 1 species
UGGUGCAUCGAACUUUUGACU